rnacentral:lncRNA from 1 species
GUGGAACUGAGUCCUGUGCACUUGAGGAGAGCAUCAGAUGACAACUGAGCAGGGUUACUGUGGACCUGUAUGUCAGUCUCACCAUCUUCACAUGACAGCUGGACAUUUAAAGACAGGUCUUGCACAUGCUGUUCAGAAGUGGACAAAAUUGUGUGUCUUCUAGGAGGCAAAAGUUCUGAAGGCAGUUCAAACUUUCUUAAGCUAGGGUGGAGGUUUGUGGGGCAGAUGCUCCCAGCUCAGCUGAAACCCUACAUGAAGAGUGUUACUACUUUGUAAGUAGAGGAAGUGAGAUGAAGAGUAGAUGGAAGGAGAGGCGUCUUCCUUUCCAUUUUCAAGCUUUUUGCCUAAGCAAAGCAGGAUUCCUAGACUGAACUUAGGUAUGUCUGACACAGGUCCUUAGAAGUAGGUUCUACUUUAGUUCCAGACAUUCUGCCAGGCAGAGAUGGAUCAGAGCCUCUGCUGUGAGAAGUCCCAGCAACAUACAUUUGCCCAAACUGGGACUUCUUUUUGUGCCUUUGUGGGAUACAGAGCCUGCAAGAACUUGGGGCGGGUGCUGACUUCCCAGAAUUGUUUUGAUUUCCAUUGAGCCUCAAUGAAAUUUCAAGAAGAAACAAAUGCCACAAGCCUGCAUGUUCAUAGCUCUGUACCUUGGAUGCAGGGUGGGCAGCUUUACAAGGCACACAUAGUCUGAUCUUGCAAAAACCUAAUCUGACCAUGACAUAGAAGGUGACUGAAGUAAUGCACCUGAAAAGCUGUUUUUUGUGCCUUCUAGUCUUUUAAUGCUCUAUGGAUGAGAGGAAGGCAAAUGUACUCAGAUGCUGUGCCAGACAACCUACACGCAUAGUGCCAAAACACUUCAGCAGCUUUUGAAGUACUUAACUUCUGCAACUGACAUCAUUUUCUGUGAGAAAGGUGGUAUUGCUAGCAGGUCAGUGCUUUGUUCUGAACUUGCUUUAAGAGUGAGGUUGCCUCAGAAUCCCACAGCCCCAGUUCAGUUCAGUGAACAAGAAAAGGCCGAGUAAUCACACAUAAUUUUGUCAGCAAUAUCUGUCCAUUUGUGAGGAACAUGGUCACAACAGUCACAGCUCCAGAACAACAAAAAGCGUGCAUCUUUUGCAUCCCAUGGGCACAGAAGAACCUUGUUUCUUCAGAGUAGGAGGAUCUCUCAAUCUGUCUGCUUCAUGCCAGAGGGUCAGUGGGGAAUGAGGAUCUGCAUGAGGAGUUGCUGUAGGCUGCAAAGGCAUUAUUUCACAACUUAAAGCCAGGACUCACACUUCCCUAAGAUCUCAGCACAUCAUUUUCCUUUUAAAUGCACUGAAACUGUGCGAGGUUUCAAAAUAAGGUACAGACCAGUAAGUCUCUGCAACGGCAGAAAUAAAAAAUUCCUACAGCAUUCA